rnacentral:rRNA from 1 species
GGCUUCGGCCCUGAGUACAGCGGCGCACGGGUGAGUAACACGUGGGUAAUCUGCCCUCGAGUGGGGAAUAACACCGGGAAACCGGUGCUAAUACCGCAUACGAUCACGAGGUCUUCGGAUUUUGUGAUGAAAGGAGCAAUUCGCUCUUGGAGGAGCCCGCGGCUGAUUAGCUAGUUGGUAAGGUAACGGCUUACCAAGGCAACGAUCAGUAGCCGGUCUGAGAGGACGGUCGGCCACACUGGAACUGAGACACGGUCCAGACUCCUACGGGAGGCAGCAGUGGGGAAUUUUUCGCAAUGGGGGAAACCCUGACGAAGCAACGCCGCGUGGAUGAUGAAGUCUCUUGGGACGUAAAAUCCUUUCGACGGGGAAGAAACCGCAAGGUUGACGGUACCCGUAGAAGAAGCCCCGGCUAACUCCGUGCCAGCAGCCGCGGUAAUACGGGGGGGGCAAGCGUUGUUCGGAAUUACUGGGCGUAAAGGGCGCGUAGGCGGUCCGCUAAGUUGAACGUGAAAACUCUGGGCUUAACCCAGAGCCUGCAUUCAAUACUGGCGGGCUAGAGUUCUGGAGGGGAUAGCGGAAUUCCUGGUGUAGCGGUGAAAUGCGUAGAUAUCAGGAGGAACACCGGUGGCGAAGGCGGCUAUCUGGACAGAGUCUGACGCUGAGGCGCGAAAGCUAGGGGAGCAAACAGGAUUAGAUACCCUGGUAGUCCUAGCCCUAAAC